AUUGAACGCUGGCGGCAGGCCUAACACAUGCAAGUCGAGCGAGCGGCGGACGGGUGCGGAAUGUCUGGGAACCUGCCUGAUGGAGGGGCAUAACUACUGGAAACGGUAGCUAAUACCGCAUACCAUCAGAUGUGCCCAGAUGGGAGUAGCUAGUAGGUGGGGUAACGGCUCACCUAGGCGACGAUCCCUAGCUGGUCUGAGAGGAUGACCAGCCAAACUGGAACUGAGACACGGUCCAGACUCCUACGGGAGGCAGCAGUGGGGAAUAUUGCACAAUGGGCGCAAGCCUGAUGCAGCCAUGCCGCGUGUGUGAAGAAGGCCUUCGGGUUGUAAAGCACUUUCAGCGGGGAGGCGUUACCAACAGAAUAAGCACCGGCUAACUUCGUGCCAGCAGCCGCGGUAAUAC
rnacentral:rRNA from 1 species